rnacentral:sRNA from 1 species
GUUAAACCGGUUCCUAUUUGGAAGUCUACUUGUGUCUACUUGAAAUUUACAUUCUUUAUCAGAUUAUCAACUACAGUAUUAUUUAUACAUCCUGAAUAUUGUUCCUAAUCAACCUUUACACCUCAUGUGAGGGUUUAUUUAUACCUAUUUUGUAAUUGAUUACAUCAAAUAAAGAAGUAAACUG